AUGAUUCUGGAAAUGGCCUCGUACAGAGAAUUCCACCUUGUGGAUGUAGGCUUCACUCGUCCUAAAGUGAGCGUCCUGCCGCCCUCCAGUGAAGAGAUUUCCACAAAGAAAACAGCAACACUGAUGUGUGUGCUCAACAAGGGUUUCCCCUCAGACUGGAGUGUGAUGUGGAAGGUGGACGGGAGCAGCAGAUCUCAGGACAGCAGUGUUGGGCUCCUGGAGAAGGACGGUCUGUACAGCUGGAGCAGCAGUCUGACUCUCUCUGAGCAGGAGUGGAGCUCAGUGCUCUCAGUGAGCUGUGAGGCCAAACACAAAGAUCCCAGUCAUACAGUCACUGGAGAAUUCAGGAGAGAUGAUGAGUGUUCACACUAG